rnacentral:rRNA from 1 species
GGGGGGGGGGGGGGGGGGGGGGGGGGGGGGGGGGGGGGGGGGGGGGGGGGGGGGGGGGGGGGGGUGCGGCGGGGGGCGGGGGAGUGAUGGCGAGGGAGCGGCCGGGGAGGGGGGGAUAACGUGCGGGAGGGGGCGCUAAUACCGCAGGCGGGCUGCGGGAGAAAGGGGGGGAGCUUCGGAGCUCACGCUAGCGGCUGCGCCGAGGUCGGGUUAGCUAGUUGGGGGGGUAAAGGCCUACCAAGGCGCCCAUCCGUAACUGGUCUGAGCGGCUGAUCAGUCACACUGGAACUGAGACACGGUCCAGACUCCUGAGGGAGGCAGCAGUGGGGAAUAUUGGACCAUGGGCGAAAGCCUGAUCCAGCCAUGCCGCGUGUGUGAAGAAGGUCUUCGGAUUGUAAAGCACUUUACGUUGGGAGGAAGGGCAGUAAGUUAAUACCUUGCUGUUUUGACGUUACCAACAGAAUAAGCACCGGCUAACUUCGUG